CGCAUAUCAAUCCUCAAACAGCAAAGAGAAAGGAGUUGAAAAAGUUGGUCAAUUUAGGUCAGGAUGGUAAAGGUGGAGUAAGGGUGCAGUUCAAGGGCAAAAAACAACAGAAACAUUCCAUACAUCAAUCACUCCACAACAAAGGCAGAGGAAUUGUAAAAGGAAAAGAUGGUCAAUUUAGGUUAGAAAAGAGGUACAACAACCACUCAUGAUUCACUAGAACAGACGUGCGUAUCAUUAACUUCUAAGUGCCGCUGAUGAUUCUACGAUAUCAUUAAUAAUAUCGGUAACAGUCGUUGUAGUGCUCAGAGGCGUUUAACAAUAGCACCCUACCCACAUAUAAAUAACCUGAGUGUUACUGGCGUUCUCGGGUUAUAGGUUUAGAGGCGUUCUUGGAUUUCAUAUUCUUGAUUUAGUAAAGGCUUAGAGAGUCUUGGUUUAAAGGCGUUCAUGGUUUAGAAGUAUCUACACCCACGCCGUUCUUGGUUUAGAGAUUCUUGGGUAGGACUUUAGAGGUUUAGAGGGUGUUGGUUCAAAGGCGUUCAUGGUUUAGAAGUAUCUACACCCACGCCGUUCUUGGUUUAGAGAUUCUUGGGCAGGACUUUAGAGGUUUAGAGGGUGUUGGUUCAAAGGCGUUCAUGGUUUAGAAGUAUCUACACCCACGCCGUUCUUGGUUUAGAGAUUCUUAGGCAGGACUUUAGAGGUUUAGAGAGUCUUGGUUCAAAGGCGUUCAUGGUUUAGAAGUAUCUACACACACGCCGUUCUUGGUUUAGAGAUUUUUGGGCAGGACUUUAAAGGUUUAGAGAGUCUUGGUUCAAAGGCGUUCAUGGUUUAGAAGGACCUACACACAUGCCGUUCUUGGUUGAGGCGUUCUUCUUUUAGAGAUUCUUGGGCAGGACUUUAGAGGUUUAGAGGGUGUUGGUUCAAAGGCGUUCUUGGUUUAGAGAUUCUUGGGCAGGACUUUAGAGGUUUAGAGGGUGUUGGUUCAAAGGCGUUCUUGGUUUAGAGGUUCUUGGGCAGGACUUUAGAGGUUUGGAGGGUGUUGGUUCAAAGGCGUUCUUGGUUUAGAGAUUCUUGGGCAGGACUUUAGAGGUUUAGAGGGUGUUGGUUCAAAGGCGUUCUUGGUUUAGAGAUUCUUGGGCAGGACUUUAGAGGUUUAGAGGGUGUUGGUUCAAAGGCGUUCAUGGUUCAGAGGCAUUUGGCUGUAGCACCCUCCACAACACAUCAACCUGAGUGCUCUUGGCGAGUCAAGGAUUAGUGUCAGCGACCGUUGCAUAUAGAAGCAUUUAACUAUAAUUCCCUGCGAUUUUAGGAUUAUUAACCCGGUAGCUGCGGGGAUCAUGUUUCUUAAAGCUCCCUCUAAGCGAGAAAAAUGAGAAAAAAUCAUCACUCACGCAAACCAUUUCAUAAUAUAUUUCAACCCCUUUUGUGAUCAGUUUAUGCAUCAUCUAUUUUUGGGGGGUUACUGUAUAUCAUGGCAAAAAUAUGGCCCGUCGCUGGUACACGGUAAAGCCACAAAUUUGCCCCGUCGCUGCUACCGGGUUACCAGUAGGUGUAGCACUGAAAGGCAUUUGGCAGCAACACCCUCUACUACACCUAAUUAAAUUAAGGUGAGUGCUCUUGGUGGCCUGAGGAUUAAGAUCAGUAAGCGUGGUAUACCGAGACACUCAGCUAUGAUUCCCUGCGAUUUUCGGAUUAGCAACAGUUAUUGUGUAGCACUGAGAGGCAUUUGUCUGUAACAGCUUAUGAUUUUUUAAGACUUUUUGCAUUUAGCUAAAACGCCAUACGAUUUCAGGACUAAUAACAGCAAGAUGUCAAUUGUUACCAACUCAAAACACAACGGCACCUUCUAAACUACAUAUAUUUUACGCCUCUGUUGGAUUUCACAUACUUCCCCUCCAAAACCCUUAUCUUAUCUUAUUUACGCUAUGCUUUUCCUUACAAGAGAAAACUAAUAUGUAGAAUUAUUCAUACAGAAAAAUCGUAAGAAACAAAGUCUGCGAUACUAAUAUUCUUGGAAAUGAUGUCAAGGGAAGAGCUUAGGAGAGAACUUGUAAUACGGGGAAUAGUUUACAGGCAUUUGGCUAGGAGGGAAGAGAAUGGCUUAAGUCUUAUAACAUAGCGGAUAAGUGUUUAGAGGCAUUUGGCUGAGAGGGAAGAGAAUGGCUUAAGUCUUAUAACAUAGCGGAUAAGUGUUUAGAGGCAUUUGGCUAGGAGGGAAGAAAAUGGCUUAAGUCUUAUAAUAUAGCCGAUAAGUGUUUAGAGGGAUUUAUCUCUAAGGGUGUACGCUUCACUAACCUGUCUUUGGCGUGUGUCCG